rnacentral:rRNA from 1 species
UACAGAGGUGGCAAGCGUUGUUCGGAAUUACUGGGCGUAAAGGGCGCGUAGGCGGUUCGAUAAGUCCCGUGUGAAAUCCCUCGGCUCAACUGAGGAAUGGCACGGGAAACUGACGGGCUUGAGUUCGGGAGAGGGAAGCGGAAUUCCGGGUGUAGCGGUGAAAUGCGUAGAUAUCCGGAGGAACACCGGUGGCGAAGGCGGCUUCCUGGACCGACACCGACGCUGAGGCGCGAAAGCUAGGGGAGCAAACGGG